rnacentral:lncRNA from 10 species
UUUAGUGCAACCAUGUUAGGAAAAGCUAUGUGCUAAGUGUAGUGAGCACGCCAAAUACAGUGAGAGGAAAAAAAAUAAAAGAAAUCUGACCUGUUAGUAGCAUGGUGGGCCACAGCACUGUGCUGUGCUGUGAGCCUGGUCUGUCUCCAUCUAAGUUUCUUUAAUGAGAAAACAAAUAAAAUAUUCAAAAAAGAAAUUUUUUUUUUUUUUUUUUGAGACAGAGUCUCGCUCUGUCGCCCAGGCUGGAGUGCAGUGGCGCGAUCUCGGCUCACUGCAAGCUCCGCCUCCCGCGUUCACGUCGUUCUCCACCUCAGCCUCCCGAGUAGCUGGGACUACAUGCGCCCGCCAUCACACCAGGCUAAUUUUUUGUAUUUUUAGUAGAGACGGGGUUUCACCGUGUUAGCCAGGAUGGUCUCGAUCUCCUGACCUCGUGAUCCACCCGCCUCAGCCUCCCAAAGUGCUGGGAUUACAGGCGUGAGCUACUGCGCCCGGCCUAAAAUAUAUAUUAUGUGUAUAUACAUAGAUUUUUAAUUUAAUAAUAUUCCAUUGCUUAGAUGUACCACAGUUCAUUCAUCAGUUGAAAGGCCUUUGAGAUGCUCCCUCUUUGGGCAAUUAUGAAUAAUGUCACAAUCAACAUUUGCAUGCAGAUUUUGUGUGAACAUAAGAGUAAUUUCUCUUGGACUGGCAUGCCUGCUUUGUAUGGAUUGGUGAAGUGCUAAUAUUUAUUCCACUCCUGUCUUCUGAGCUCUAACCAAAUUGAGAACAACUACAAAAAAUGAGAUUUUACAGAAGAAGUUGAAAUGGAGAAGGUAAGUAACCUCCCCAAGGCCACAUGACUGCUAAGGGUGGGGCCACAAUUUGAUCCCAGGUAGUCUGAAUUCCCCAAUUCCUCAAGCAUGAUUAUCAGAAGGUGUAUUAAUCUGUUUUCACACUGAUAUAAAGAAAUACCUGAGGUUGGGUAAUUUAUAAAGGAAAGAGGUUUAAUUGACUCCAUGGUUUCCCGUGGCUGGGGAGGCCUCAGGAAACUUACAAUCAUAGCAGAAGGGGAAGCAGGUCCCACUUACAUGGCGGCUGCACAGAGAGUGUGAGCAUGUGAAGGAGAAACUGC